GGGCUUUUUGGCUGGAUGCCUCACAUGCACGAGGUCACUGGUUCAACUCCAGUAACGCCCACCA
rnacentral:tRNA from 1 species